CCACUUUUCUCAACAGUCAUGGAUACUUAUUUGUUGAGAGCCACAGCCGAAGGGGCCCCAGCAAACUUUCAGACUGCCAGCUGAUGAUUGGCUCACAGCGGCCCCAGCAACUUCUAGCUGAUUGGCUCCUCUGUGGUGAUGCUCAUUGGGCUGUUUCCCUGCCCUUUCAGACUAUGGAGCUGCUCAUUGGGGGACUUUUUUGGCUCCGCCCAUGAGACC
rnacentral:lncRNA from 1 species